rnacentral:rRNA from 1 species
GACGAACGCUGGCGGCGUGCUUAACACAUGCAAGUCGAACGGAAAGGCCCUGCUUGCAGGGUACUCGAGUGGCGAACGGGUGAGUAACACGUGGGUGAUCUGCCCUGCACUUCGGGAUAAGCCUGGGAAACUGGGUCUAAUACCGGAUAGGAGCCAUUUUUAGUGUGAUGGUUGGAAAGUUUUUUCGGUGUAGGAUGAGCUCGCGGCCUAUCAGCUUGUUGGUGGGGUAAUGGCCUACCAAGGCGGCGACGGGUAGCCGGCCUGAGAGGGUGGACGGGCACAUUGGGACUGAGAUACGGCCCAGACUCCUACGGGAGGCAGCAGUGGGGAAUAUUGCACAAUGGGCGCAAGCCUGAUGCAGCGACGCCGCGUGGGGGAUGACGGCCUUCGGGUUGUAAACUCCUUUCGCUAGGGACGAAGCUUUUUGUGACGGUACCUAGAGAAGAAGCACCGGCUAACUACGUG